rnacentral:rRNA from 1 species
AAUGAACGCUGGCGGCAGGCCUAACACAUGCAAGUCGAACGAGUGGUGGACGGGUGAGUAAUGUCUGGGAAACUGCCUGAUGGACGGGGAUAACUACUGGAAACGGUAGCUAAUACCGCAUACCAUCGGAUGUGCCCAGAUGGGAUUAGCUAGCAGGUGGGGUAAAGGCUCACAUAGGCGACGAUCCCUAGCUGGUCUGAGAGGAUGACAAGCCAAACUGGAACUAUGACACGGUCCAGCCGCCGACGGGAGGAAGCAGUGGGGAAUAGUGGACAAUGGGUGCAAGCCCGAUGCAGCCAUGCCGCGUGUAGGAAGAAGGCGUUAGGGGUGUAAAGUACUUUCAGGGGGGAGGCGGUACCCGCAGAAGAAGCGCCGGCUAACUCCGUGCCAGCAGCCGCGGUAAUUC